rnacentral:rRNA from 1 species
AACGAACGCUGGCGGCAGGCCUAACACAUGCAAGUCGAACGCUCGUAGCAAUACGGGAGUGGCAGACGGGUGCGUAACGCGUGGGAACAUACCCUUUGGUUCGGAAUAACUCAGGGAAACUUGAGCUAAUACCGGAUACGCCCGAGAGGGGAAAGAUUUAUUGCCGAAGGAUUGGCCCGCGUCUGGUUAGCUAGUUGGUGAGGUAACGGCUCACCAAGGCGACGAUCAGUAGCUGGUCUGAGAGGAUGAUCAGCCACACUGGGACUGAGACACGGCCCAGACUCCUACGGGAGGCAGCAGUGGGGAAUAUUGGACAAUGGGCGCAAGCCUGAUCCAGCCAUGCCGCGUGAGUGAUGACGGCCUUAGGGUUGUAAAGCUCUUUUACCCGGGAAGAUAAUGACGGUACCGGGAGAAUAAGCCCGGCUAACUUCGUG